rnacentral:tRNA from 1 species
GCGGAUUUAGCUCAGUUGGGAGAGCGCCAGACUGAAGAAAAAAUUCGGUCAAGUCAUCUGGAGGUCCUGUGUUCGAUCCACAGAAUUCGCA